rnacentral:lncRNA from 10 species
CACCUGUCGAGUUUGUUAACCAUAUAGAUUCCAGGAUCUGACUCCCAGAGAAUCUAAUUCAGAAGCUGCCUGGAGGGGCAAUGAGACUGAACUUUUAAAAAGUAGUCACCGUGAUUCUAAGGCCAAUUUUGAGAAAUAUUAAUGGAGUAAAUAAAGAAAGCUAAUGGCAGAACCUUGAGGAAAAAACUGUUUUUAAUGAGAUGAGAAGGAAGAGGAGACAGCAAAGGAAAUAAGGAAUGACAUGAAGUAAGAGGAAGGAAAAGAAGCAUGCAGUAAGAAUUUCAAGAGGAGGUUUUGGCAAACGCUACAAACUAUCAAUGAAAUGAAUAUGGACAGGAAACAGAAUAACACCAAAAACUGUCUGUAAAGGAUCAAUGUUCAAUGGAGCUUGGAUUUGUCAUGGGUCUCUGGUGACAAACAUUGGUCAUAUUGGUGAGUUAUAUGGUUCUUCACUUCUCAUUUGUCACCUUUUGUCAUGAGCCAAGUUAUGGUGAAAGCUUGAUUUGAUUAAUUUUCUCUAUUCUUGGGUCAUUUUUAUUCAUAAUUUUCAAAUCUACCCCAAAGUCUUCAGAGUUCUGCCCACACCUGUAUCUAGUAUAUUACUCUGGAUAUAUAGUUAUAACAUACACCUUUAGAGGUAUACUUCCCUUGGGUCAUAGUUGCAUUGUGGAAGAGUUGUAUAUAAACCAAAUGUUCAUGAAGCAUAUAUAAAAUGUAAAUCCCCUAGAAAGCUUUUGUGUUUGAAGGAAUCCUGUUACAAAGUGACAAAUAUAUCUGAAAAAGAAAAUCACUUUUUUGUCUUGUUCAAAAACUGAUCAUUUAUUCACAUUGCAAAUAUACCUGAUGUUCAAUAAUGAAAUUUUGCUUCUGUAACUCCUUUGGUUUGAUAUGUUAUUGAAAUGUUGGUGGCAAGAUGAAAAGCUUACCCCAGAUUGGAAAAUAAAUCAAAGGGCAGACAUUAAAUGAGAUAUUUUAAAACUUUCUGAAAAGAUUUCUGACCUUCACAUAAGCUGCAUUCUAAUGGAAGAAUAGAAUACGUUUCCAGACAUGUUAUCUAUUCUAGUCUCUUCUUCAGAGCAUGUUUUGUUGUUUUUGAAUGGGAUAUUGUUCUUUUUUGUGUGAGGGAAAGGUUGAUUUGGGGUUUUGUUUAUUG